UCAGCAGCCCGCGGUAAUUCCAGCUCCAAUAGCGUAUAUUAAAGUUGUUGCAGUUAAAAAGCUCGUAGUUGAACCUUGGGUCUGGCUGGCCGGUCCGCCUCACCGCGAGUACUGGUCCGGCUGGACCUUUCCUUCUGGGGAACCUCAUGGCCUUCACUGGCUGUGGGGGGAACCAGGACUUUUACUGUGAAAAAAUUAGAGUGUUCAAAGCAGGCCUUUGCUCGAAUACAUUAGCAUGGAAUAAUAGAAUAGGACGUGUGGUUCUAUUUUGUUGGUUUCUAGGACCGCCGUAAUGAUUAAUAGGGAUAGUCGGGGGCGUCAGUAUUCAGCUGUCAGAGGUGAAAUUCUUGGAUUUGCUGAAGACUAACUACUGCGAAAGCAUUCGCCAAGGAUGUUUUCAUUAAUCAGGGAACGAAAGUUAGGGGAUCGAAGACGAUCAGAUACCGUCGUAGUCUUAACCAUAAACUAUGCCGACUAGGGAUCGGACGGGCUUCUAUGAUGACCCGUUCGGCACCUUACGAGAAAUCAAAGUUUUUGGGUUCUGGGGGGAGUAUGGUCGCAAGGCUGAAACCUAAAGAAAUUGACGGAAGGGCACCACAAGGCGUGGAGCCUGCGGCUUAAUUUGACUCAAACACGGG
rnacentral:rRNA from 1 species